AUUGAACGCUGGCGGCAGGCCUAACACAUGCAAGUCGAGCGGCAGCAGAGUGAUUGCUUCUGGUAUCGGUGGCGGGUGGGGGAGUAAUGACUAGGACACCGCCAGGUAGUGGUGGGUAACGGCUGGCGAAGGGCGACAAUCCCGCAUACGUCAUGCGGGCGACAGUGGAGGACAUUCGGACCUCGCGCCUUCCGAUGAUCAGAGGUCGGAUUAGCUAGUUGGUGGGGUAAAGGCCUACCAAGGCGACGAUCCGUAACUGGUCUGAGAGGAUGAUCAGUCACACUGGAACUGAGACACGGUCCAGACUCCUACGGGAGGCAGCAGUGGGGAAUAUUGGACAAUGGGCGAAAGCCUGAUCCAGCCAUGCCGCGUGUGUGAAGAAGGUCUUCGGAUUGUAAAGCACUUUAGUUGGGAAAGAAGAGCAGUAAGUUAAUACCUUGCUGUUUUGACGUUACCAACAGAAUAAGCACCGGCUAACUUCGUG
rnacentral:rRNA from 1 species